rnacentral:misc_RNA from 1 species
AAUGCAUGUCGGUCACUCGGUCAGUCGGUCUGUGAUUUUUAUUACAUGCUUGGGUGUUCAGUUGUGCUUAUCAAAGUUUAUUUCAUCUUAAAAUUUAUACUUUAGGUGAAAUAAUAGUCUUUUUUGUCGGUGACGAGUUCAAGCAGAUAACAACUAACCAAAAGUGUGGUUAACCGUACUUGGGUAUCUUAAAUAUAACGGGAAAGUAGCAAGGUUAUACGUCAAAUAUACGAAGAGCUUUAUCAUACGGUAAUCGGUCAGUGAAAAUGGAAAGCAAAAUUCUUUUGACGUUGUCUGCCAUAUUAGUAUUCCCCCUUAAUAAAGGCCACAUGAUUUUGUUCCCCCAUUAUUUGGAAAAAGGCGAAACGAUCACACUUGGUGGUGAUUUUGGACGGGACAAAAUGCCGCAUGUGAAUCAUCUGACGUGGUGGUUCAACGGCAGCCUCGUCCCCGGGGGCUUUAAGGGCACUAUUGUCGCAAUGGUGCAGCGUGACCAAGGAACACCUUUCUGGGGAGGUUUGGCGAGAGGAGACAACUUGUCUUUAGAAAAAAAUGGGUCCUUGACCAUCACGAACGCGGGCAAGGACAAUGAAGGAAACUACGUAGCAAGAUGGCGAAAUAAAUAUUUCGCGGCUCAUGACGUUCUUCUGUUUCAACCAGGCACCAAAGAGCACAUCGCCGGUGUCAAGUACGGGUGUAAGGAAGGCGAAGAAUUAAUAAAGUGCUAUUUUGCUCACCCUGGCCGCAAAAUAUUGAUAAGAAUAUGUCGAAUCUGGCGAACACAAGACCUAAGGAAAAGGAUUUGCGACGCCGACGCCGUCGACCACAAGAUGUACGUUGACGCUAAAGUCGAAUCAGGCCAGCCUAUCGAGGUGGUGUUUGAAGAUACGACGAACAAACCUCAAGGCACCUCAGACCUAUUCGUUCAGUUUUUGGAUAGAUCCAAGAUUCUCCGAUCCGUACAAUCCUCAAAUGGCGCGUCUAUCUACGAAAACUGAAGCAUCCAACUCGACUCAGAACCCUGAAUCAAAGUCUAGUCAGCAAUCGCCUAAUGAGGGAACCACGGACGGUCUAGAAAAUCGAGAUGAAUCAACGACUAUGCAAAGUCUCCGAUCGGUAACGCCAUCACAAACACGCGUUUCCAAUACAGAAGAGCAAGUGGCCCCUACCCCCUCACAAGCCACGGCAACGACAAAAGGUCCCUUCAGAACAACAAAGGGAAACGAUGGCAUUUUUGUCGUAAGUCGUCCAACGUCAGAUCGUGAUAGGGAUUAUGUUAUUGGACUUUGUACUGGAGUUUUAAUUGUACUGGGAGUAGGCGCUAUUGUUAUUCUGUGUGUUAUUCUCUAUCGUCGUUACCGCAAACGUAGAGAGCGACAAUCUGACCAAUACCAAAGAACAAUGGCUUCAGCCUCUGAAAGGCUGGUUUACAGCCUUCAACUGUAGUGAAGGCAGAAUUGGCCAACUAUGUAAAGUGUAGUUAAAGAGUUUUAUAACUGAGUUAUAAUCAUUUUCAAUCAAUGUAUUCGAGGCGCGCAGUCAAAAUAGUUAGCAUGAAAAGAGCUAGAAAGAGCAUCCUAAGUUUAGAAGAUUUGGAAGAUUCGGUGGCGAAAAGUUCGAAAAAUGCAUGUCGACGUUCAAUGUCGGCUAAUUUUGUACAAAAUUGUACAGUACGUGCAAAAAAGCCUAACCACUUUUUGAAAAGUUUUUUAAUAAUUGAUAACAAAAUUUGCCAACUUCGCUCGGCGAAUAUUUUUGGUAUCUUCUUUUACGUAUUGCAACCGCCAAUGCAACCAAACGUUUCGAUUUUGAACUGGUUCAAAGAGAGAUUAUUUUGUGUUAUAAGAUAGAUAUUUACAUAGAAUAUAUUUUUUUUGAAAAUAGAGUAUUUUUUAAAGGGGGUUUACAGUCGCUUCUGUGCAUCGGUUCUGCUCAUACAAUGGAUAGUCUACACUUCUUUCAAAUUUUGCAUGUUUCGUAUAUUUCUGAACAUAAACUCUCUCUCGUAUUCGUUUAGGAGUAUAGCAAACUAUAAGCGUGUCAAAUAUUCUGAAAGUUUUUGAUAUUUUAGGAAAUAUACGGAUUCAAAAUGUAAACAAGGAUUUUAAACCACCUUUAAACUACUGUUUAAAUAUUUUUGUAUAUUAAAUAUUUUAAUAUCAAUGUCUGUAGAUAUUUGGAAUUUAUUCUAUUUAAAGAAUUUGUAAAUGUGGCAGUACAUUUUUC